CCAUACUCGGUGGUGGUAAGCUGCUGUUGUAGCCACAGCUGCUCUGGGGCAGACUGAUUUACAGAUCUACAAAAAAAUAAAUUCUCAAAUACAAACAACUUUAGCUUUUUAUACACUCAACAAAUUUAAAGUCAAACAACAACACAGAAUCCCUGAAAAAAAAUUCAAAACAACAAAAUAAAAAUUACAAAUAUUAACUCUUCAAUGCUAUAAAUAAACUAUAAAAUACAAGAACUUUUAUCUAUUUACAAUUCAACUUUUUACCAAUUUAGACUGAAACAACACAGAACCCCUGAAAAACACGCAAAAAAAAAAAAAUUAAAAUGUGUAAAACAAAAACAAAAAGAUCAGCACUCUACUGAAGAUUGGCAUUUAGAAACGCCAAGUGCCUCAGCUUUGAGCGACUGAUUCGGCUUCUUCUGUCGGUGAUUAUCUGACCUGUUUUAGAGAAGAUUCUCUCAGAGGGGACUAUAUGACAUUUUGGUCUUGCAGACAAUGCACUCUGCUUUUGGAGCCAUCAAUAUAAUUAAAAUGAGUCCAAAUUUGGCUCCUUUUCCUGAUUUGACUAAUUUCUUUUGACUUUUUCUUUUUGUCCCCGGUAUUGGACUCUCUCUCCUCUCUUGACCCGCUCCUGUGCUCACUGUGCUGCUGCUGUGUGUGUGUGCUGGGCUGCAGCCCCUCCCCCCUCUGCUCAGCACACGAAGCAGAGCAGACAGAGAAAAAAAGCGUCUCGAAGGGAGCCGGCUCCUGAUUGGUGGGGAGCCGGCUCCCGUCGUUCACUUCAAAGAGCCGGCUCAUAGAGCCAUUACGUUCACGAACGACACAUCACCACAAAACACUUCCUGUUCCACUGGUGGAGGGAAGUGCGCGCCUUCACUUCACAGCUUUCUUCUCUUUUUCAUCGCGACUCUGAUAUAAAGCCGCCGUUCUAACUGCAGAGGUCAGAGAGAUAUCUCUCUGCCUCUCGGAUUUCUGCUCCAUCUGACUGGUCCAGAGGACAAACGCUCCUCAACUCCCCAGUGGCAGAGCCUGAAACAGAGUCCAGUCACUUUCUGAUCCAAACCAUUGACUGUUGAGAAAAAGGGACGAAACUUCACCCAUAGCAGGGGGCGGGGCCAAAGAUAUCAUGACAUCCUGACGCAGCUGGAGGUCAUGUGCCUUAGGGGCGGCCAUCUUGCUGAGGUCCCUCUGGCCCCACAGCCAUGAAAUCUGCAGGAGAA